GACGAACGCUGGCGGCGUGCUUAACACAUGCAAGUCGAACGGCAAGGCCCUGCUUUUGUGGGGUGCUCGAGUGGCGAACGGGUGAGUAACACGUGAGUAACCUGCCCUUGACUUUGGGAUAACUUCAGGAAACUGGGGCUAAUACCGGAUAGGAGCUCCUGCUGCAUGGUGGGGGUUGGAACGUUUCGGCGGUUGGGGAUGGACUCGCGGCUUAUCAGCUUGUUGGUGGGGUAGUGGCUUACCAAGGCUUUGACGGGUAGCCGGCCUGAGAGGGUGACCGGCCACAUUGGGACUGAGGUACGGACCAGACUCCUACGGGAGGCAGCAGUGGGGAAUAUUGCACAAUGGGCGGGAGCCUGAUGCAGCGACGCCGCGUGCGUAAUGACGGCCUUCGGGUUGUGAACCGCUUUCGCCUGUGACGAAGCGUGAGUGACGGUAAUGGGUAAAGAAGCACCGGCUAACUACGUG
rnacentral:rRNA from 1 species